GAUGAACGCUGGCGGCGUGCCUAAUACAUGCAAGUCGAGCGAACAGACGAGGAGCUUGCUCCUCUGACGUUAGCGGCGGACGGGUGAGUAACACGUGGAUAACCUACCUAUAAGACUGGGAUAACUUCGGGAAACCGGAGCUAAUACUGGAUAAUAUAUUGAACCGCAUGGUUCAAUAGUGAAGGACGGUUUUGCUGUCACUUAUAGAUGGAUCCGCGCCGCAUUAGCUAGUUGGUAAGGUAACGGCUUACCAAGGCAACGAUGCGUAGCCGACCUGAGAGGGUGAUCGGCCACACUGGAACUGAGACACGGUCCAGACUCCUACGGGAGGCAGCAGUAGGGAAUCUUCCGCAAUGGGCGAAAGCCUGACGGAGCAACGCCGCGUGAGUGAUGAAGGUCUUCGGAUCGUAAAACUCUGUUAUUAGGGAAGAACAAAUGUGUAAGUAACUAUGCACGUCUUGACGGUACCUAAUCAGAAAGCCACGGCUAACUACGUG
rnacentral:rRNA from 1 species